rnacentral:rRNA from 1 species
GAUGAACGCUGGCGGCGUGCCUAAUACAUGCAAGUCGAGCGAACAGACGAGGAGCUUGCUCCUCUGACGUUAGCGGCGGACGGGUGAGUAACACGUGGAUAACCUACCUAUAAGACUGGGAUAACUUCGGGAAACCGGAGCUAAUACCGGAUAAUAUAUUGAACCGCAUGGUUCAAUAGUGAAAGACGGUUUUGCUGUCACUUAUAGAUGGAUCCGCGCCGAAUUAGCUAGUUGGUAAGGUAACGGCUUACCAAGGCAACGAUGCGUAGCCGACCUGAGAGGGUGAUCGGCCACACUGGAACUGGGACACGGUCCAGACUCCUACGGGAGGCAGCGGUAGGGAAUCUUCCGCAAUGGGCGAAAGCCGGACGGAGCAACGCCGCGUGAGUGAUGAAGGUCUUCGGAUCGUAAAACUCUGUUAUUAGGGAAGAACAAAUGUGUAAGUAACUAUGCACGUCUUGACGGUACCUAAUCAGAAAGCCACGGCUAACUACGUG